GACGAACGCUGGCGGCGUGCUUAACACAUGCAAGUCGAACGGAAAGGCCCUGCUUUUGUGGGGUGCUCGAGUGGCGAACGGGUGAGUAACACGUGAGUAACCUGUCCUUGACUUUGGGAUAACUUCAGGAAACUGGGGCUAAUACCGGAUAGGAGCUCCUGCUGCAUGGUGGGGGUUGGAAAGUUUCGGCGGUUGGGGAUGGAAUCGCGGCUUAUCCGCUUGUUGGUGGGGUAGUGGCUUACCAAGGCUUUGACGGGUAGCCGGCCUGAGAGGGUGACCGGGCACAUUGGGACUGAGGGACGGCCCAGAAUCCUACGGGAGGCAGCAGUGGGGAAUAUGGCACAAUGGGCGGAAGCCUGAUGCAGCGACGCCGCGUGCGGGAUGACGGCCUUCGGGUGGUAAACCGCUUUCGCCUGUGACGAAGCGGGAGUGACGGUAAUGGGUAAAGAAGCACCGGCUAACUACGUG
rnacentral:rRNA from 1 species